UAGCAUACACGAGCUUUACUCAUUUCUCAGCCAUUCAUUGUUGAGUAUAUACAUAACCUUUUCUUAAACAAGAUAGUAUUACCCUGAGUUCCUUGGUAAUUAUCGAUCCCUUCUAUCAGAUUCCUUACCCGUAAUUUUAUAUUUUCAUGUUCCCUCUGUACUAUGACAAUUCUGGUUAUCAAACCAGGAGUCACUGUUAACAUUGCAAUGACAGCUGAUAUUGUUUGUGGUGGUAGAACCACUUCUAAAUUCAAUCUUUUCAAAUCCUCGAUGAAUUUUUCUUUAUGGGUAAGGAGAAAUCCUUA
rnacentral:lncRNA from 1 species